rnacentral:rRNA from 1 species
UACAUAUGGGGCAAGCGUUGUUCGGAAUUACUGGGCAUAAAGGGUGCGUAGGUGGUCUAUUAAGUCAGGGGUGAAAUCCCGCGGCCCAACCGUGGAACUGCCUUUGAUACUGGUGGACUUGAGUGCGUGAGGGGUAGGGGGAACGAGCAGUGUAGGCGGUGAAAUGCGCAGAUAUUGCUCGGAAGGCCAGAGCCGAAGGGCCCUACUGGUACGUAACUGACACUGAGGCACGAAAGCGUGGGGAGCAACAGG